UAAUACAGAGGGUGCGAGCGUUAAUCGGAAUUACUGGGCGUAAAGGGCGCGUAGGCGGUUAUAUAAGUUUGAUGUGAAAUCCCUGGGCUUAACCUAGGAACUGCGUUGAAAACUGUAUGACUAGAGUACUGUAGAGGGUAGUGGAAUUUCCGGUGUAGCGGUGAAAUGCGUAGAUAUCGGAAGGAACACCAGUGGCGAAGGCGGCUACCUGGACAGAUACUGACGCUGAGGCGCGAGAGCGUGGGGAGCAAACAGGAUUAGAUACCCUGGUAGUCCACGCUGUAAACGAUGAGAACUAGAUGUUGGCAGGCUUGACCUGUUAGUAUCGCAGCUAACGCGAUAAGUUCUCCGCCUGGGGAGUACGGCCGCAAGGUUA
rnacentral:rRNA from 1 species